rnacentral:rRNA from 1 species
AGCUUGCUUCUUUGCUGACGAGUGGCGGACGGGUGAGUAAUGUCUGGGAAACUGCCUGAUGGAGGGGGAUAACUACUGGAAACGGUAGCUAAUACCGCAUAACGUCGCAAGACCAAAGAGGGGGACCUUCGGGCCUCUUGCCAUCGGAUGUGCCCAGAUGGGAUUAGCUAGUAGGUGGGGUAACGGCUCACCUAGGCGACGAUCCCUAGCUGGUCUGAGAGGAUGACCAGCCACACUGGAACUGAGACACGGUCCAGACUCCUACGGGAGGCAGCAGUGGGGAAUAUUGCACAAUGGGCGCAAGCCUGAUGCAGCCAUGCCGCGUGUAUGAAGAAGGCCUUCGGGUUGUAAAGUACUUUCAGCGGGGAGGAAGGGAGUAAAGUUAAUACCUUUGCUCAUUGACGUUACCCGCAGAAGAAGCACCGGCUAACUCCGUGCCAGCAGCCGCGGUAAUACGGAGGGUGCAAGCGUUAAUCGGAAUUACUGGGCGUAAAGCGCACGCAGGCGGUUUGUUAAGUCAGAUGUGAAAUCCCCGGGCUCAACCUGGGAACUGCAUCUGAUACUGGCAAGCUUGAGUCUCGUAGAGGGGGGUAGAAUUCCAGGUGUAGCGGUGAAAUGCGUAGAGAUCUGGAGGAAUACCGGUGGCGAA